AGAGUUUGAUCCUGGCUCAGGACGAACGCUGGCGGCGUGCUUAACACAUGCAAGUCGAGCGGAAAGGCCCUUCGGGGUACUCGAGCGGCGAACGGGUGAGUAACACGUGAGUAAUCUGCCCCUAGCUCUGGGAUAGCUCCGGGAAACCGGGAUUAAUACCGGAUACGACCACCUUAGACAUCUUUUGUGGUGGAAAGAAUUUCGGCUAGGGAUGAGCUCGCGGCCUAUCAGCUUGUUGGUGGGGUAACGGCCUACCAAGGCGACGACGGGUAGCCGGCCUGAGAGGGCGACCGGCCACACUGGGACUGAGACACGGCCCAGACUCCUACGGGAGGCAGCAGUGGGGAAUAUUGCGCAAUGGGCGAAAGCCUGACGCAGCGACGCCGCGUGGGGGAUGAAGGCCUUCGGGUUGUAAACCCCUUUCAGCAGGGACGAAGCGAAAGUGACGGUACCUGCAGAAGAAGCGCCGGCUAACUACGUGCCAGCAGCCGCGGUAACACGUAGGGCGCAAGCGUUGUCCGGAAUUAUUGGGCGUAAAGAGCUCGUAGGCGGUCUGUUGCGUCCGCUGUGAAAACUCGGGGCUUAACCCCGAGCCUGCAGUGGAUACGGGCAGACUAGAGGUAGGUAGGGGAGAAUGGAAUUCCCGGUGUAGCGGUGAAAUGCGCAGAUAUCGGGAGGAACACCGGUGGCGAAGGCGGUUCUCUGGGCCUUACCUGACGCUGAGGAGCGAAAGCGUGGGGAGCGAACAGGAUUAGAUACCCCGGUAGUCC
rnacentral:rRNA from 1 species